UCUGUAGGUGGCUUGCUAAGUCAGACGUGAAAUCCCUCAGCUUAACUGGGGAACUGCGUCUGAUACUGGCAAGCUUGAGUGCAGGAGAGGAACGCGGAAUUCCAGGUGUAGCGGUGAAAUGCGUAGAUAUCUGGAGGAACACCGGUGGCGAAGGCGGCGUUCUGGACUGCAACUGACACUGAGAGACGAAAGCCAGGGAGCAAACG
rnacentral:rRNA from 1 species